rnacentral:rRNA from 1 species
CCGAGUUGUAAUUUGGAGACGGGACACUAGAGAGGAGGAAGGCGAUUAAGUGCCUUGGAACAGGCUGCCGUAGAGGGUGAGAGCCCCGUGAAUCGCUGGAGACCGAUCAAUUAGUGCCCGCCGAAGAGUCGAGUUGUUUGGGAAUGCAGCUCUAAGCGGGUGGUAUAUUCCAUCUAAGGCUAAAUAUUAGCGAGAGACCGAUAGCAAACAAGUACAGUGAUGGAAAGAUGAAAAGAACUUUGGAAAGAGAGUGAAAUAGUACGUGAAAUUGUUGAAAGGGAAGGGUAUUUGAUCCGACAUGGUGUUUAGCAGCGGCCCGUUCCUCGUGGAUGGGUGCACCUGGUUUACACUGGGCCAGCAUCGGUUCUGGGAGCCAUAUACGGGGUUCGUGAAUGUGGCCCUUCGAUUCUGUCGGAGGGUGUUAUAGCGCGCACAUCUUGUGGCUAUCCGGUACCGGCUACUGCGGUGACUUGUCACCAUAGAUGCUGGCUCAACGAUCAAAUACCACCCGUCUUGAACAGCGGACCAAAAA